rnacentral:tRNA from 1 species
GCUCAGUGGUCUAGAGGUUAAACAAUCGUGUUCGAGACCGAUAGGUCUAGGGUUCGAAUCUCGUGAGGCG